AACAUCGCGCACCUGCGGGAACCUGCGGAAGGAUCAUUACUGAGUUAGGGUCUUUUUUGGCCCGACCUCCAACCCUUUGUUUAUUAAACCAUGUUGCUUUGGCGGGCCUGCCUUUCGGGGCUGCCGGGGGCAUCACUGCCCCUGACUCGUGCCUGCCAGGAGCCUUCUUAAAUUCAGUGUUCAAUGGUGCUGUCUGAGUCCCGGUAUCAAAAUACCUCAAAACUUUUAGCAAUGGAUCUC
rnacentral:misc_RNA from 1 species